ACUCAAAUGAAUUGACGGGGGCCCGCACAAGCGGUGGAUCAUGUGGUUUAAUUCGAAGCAACGCGAAGAACCUUACCUGGGUUUGACAUGCCGUUGAAUAUCUUAGAGAUAGGAUAGGCCCGCAAGGGACAAUGGACACAGGUGCUGCAUGGCUGUCGUCAGCUCGUGUUGUGAAAUGUUGGGUUAAGUCCCGCAACGAGCGCAACCCUUGUGCUUGGUUGCCAACAUAUAAGGUGGGCACUCCAAGCAGACUGCCGUCGUCAAGACGGAGGAAGGUGGGGAUGACGUCAAGUCCUCAUGGCCUUUAUAUCCAGGGCGACACACGUGAUACAAUGGUAGGUACAGAGGGUAGCGAAGUGGUGACACGGAGCCAAUCCCAAAAAGCCUAUCUCAGUUCGGAUUGGAGUCUGCAACUCGACUCCAUGAAGUUGGAAUCGCUAGUAAUCGCGGAUCAGAACGCCGCGGUGAAUACGUUCCCGGGCCUUGUACACACCGCCCGU
rnacentral:rRNA from 1 species